UACGUAGGUGGUCUUACAAGUCUUGGGUGAAAGGCUAUGGCUCAACCAUAGUAAGCCUUGGAAACUGUAAGACUUGAGUGCAGGAGAGGUAAGUGGAAUUCCUAGUGUAGCGGUGAAAUGCGUAGAUAUUAGGAGGAACACCAGUGGCGAAGGCGACUUACUGGACUGUUACUGACACUGAGGUACGAAAGCGUGGGGAGCGAACA
rnacentral:rRNA from 1 species